GAUGAACGCUGGCGGCGUGCCUAAUACAUGCAAGUCGAGCGAACAGAUAAGGAGCUUGCUCCUUUGACGUUAGCGGCGGACGGGUGAGUAACACGUGGGUAACCUACCUAUAAGACUGGGAUAACUUCGGGAAACCGGAGCUAAUACCGGAUAAUAUUUCGAACCGCAUGGUUCGAUAGUGAAAGAUGGUUUUGCUAUCACUUAUAGAUGGACCCGCGCCGCAUUAGCUAGUUGGUAAGGUAACGGCUUACCAAGGCGACGAUACGUAGCCGACCUGAGAGGGUGAUCGGCCACACUGGAACUGAGACACGGUCCAGACUCCUACGGGAGGCAGCAGUAGGGAAUCUUCCGCAAUGGGCGAAAGCCUGACGGAGCAACGCCGCGUGAGUGAUGAAGGUCUUCGGAUCGCAAAACUCUGUUAUUAGGGAAGAACAUACGUGUAAGUAACUGUGCACGUCUUGACGGUACCUAAUCAGAAAGCCACGGCUAACUACGUG
rnacentral:rRNA from 1 species